AAAAAAGAGUGUUCAGGAAGCAGAGGAGGGAGUUUUGAGUGAUAGCGAACAUACUGUAGAUGAAAGCUGUCGAAGGAGUGAGACGCUGAGAAGCGUCAGCAUUGUCAGAGCAUGUUCAGCCCUCAGGGACAGCCGGGGGCCGGCCGUCAGCCUUUAUUUGGAGAGCAGAAGCUUUUCCACACUACCUGAAAUCAGCUGAGAGGUUAAGUCGUGGUGUGUGCAAGCUGUCAGCAUCAGAUCAUCGUCCUCAAAGUGUGGGGGCAAGAAGGAAAGAUGUCGGGUGCCCCCCGGUGGAGACAGUGUGUACUGUGUGCAAAGUGCUCCCCCCCCUCUCCUUUCAGUGUGUGUUAGUUAAUCACCAUCUGCUGCUGCAGUUAGUUGUAUAGCAAAAGUGGAGAGGAAAGGUGAGUAUUCUCAGUCAACCAAC
ensembl:lncRNA